UACGAAGGGGGCUAGCGUUGCUCGGAAUCACUGGGCGUAAAGCGCACGUAGGCGGAUUGCUAAGUCAGGGGCGAAAUCCUGGAGCUCAACUCCAGAACUGCCUUUGAUACUGGCGAUCUCGAGUCCGGGAGAGGUGAGUGGAACUGCGAGUGUAGAGGUGAAAUUCGUAGAUAUUCGCAAGAACACCAGUGGCGAAGGCAGCUCACUGGCCCGGUACUGACGCUGAGGUGCGAAAGCGUGGGGAGCAAACAGG
rnacentral:rRNA from 1 species